rnacentral:lncRNA from 1 species
GAACUACUGUAACAGUUCAGUGUGUUAUAGUGUCUCUAGGAGGUGAACUACUGUAACAGUUCAGUGUGUUAUAGUGUCUCUAGGAGGUGAACAACUGUAAUAGUUCAUUGUGUUAUAGUGUCACCAUCCAGGAGGUGAACUACUGAAAAGUUCAGUGUGUUAUAGUGUCACUAGCAUGUGAACUACUGUAACAGUUAAGUGUGUAAUAGUGUCACCAUCCAGGAGGUGAACUACUACAACAGUUCAGUGUGUUAUAGUGUCUCACUCUACAUGGUGAACUACUGUAACAGUACAGUGUGUUAUAGUGUCACUAGGAGGUGAACUACUGUAACAGUUCAGUGUGUUUUAGUGUCACUAGGAGUAGAAAUACUGUAACAGUUCAGUGUGUUAUAGUGUCUCUAGGAGGUGAACUACUGUAACAGUUCAGUGAGUUAUAGUGUCACUAGGAGUAGAAAUACUGUAACAGUUCAGUUUGUUAUAGUGUCUCAAUGAGGUCAACAACUGUAACAGUUCAGUGUGUUUUUGUGUCACUAGGAGGUGAACUACUGUAACAGUUCAGUGUGUUAUAGUG